CAAGCACUCAGCCUCAUCCUAAGUGUUCAUGUCAACUAGCAAAGGUCUGCAUUUUCUGAUAAAAUAACUCAUAAAACUUCCAUAUUAAGAACUAAAAUGGUUUGGAAGACAAAGAAGUGCUGAGAAAUUUUGCGAGAUACUUCCAGAUGUCCAGUGGAUUCACCUGUCAGAGCUGAUUAAGGUUUAUUGUCAAAGGGUGAACUUCAUGGCAGCUUAAGCCCACGCAUGUCAUUGCUUAGCUCUCAGUCUGAAUCAGGAAAGAAAACUGAGAUUCUAAAACGUUGAAUAACCUACACAAGUUCACACAGCAAGAAAGAGACAGGACCAUGGUUCAACUUCCUCCACAGCAGUGUUUGCUCUCCUCUACAGCAACCAUAACACAGCCGACUCUUUGCAGCAGAGAAAAUGUAAACCCUGGAACUUUCACAGAGAGCCUGUGCUGGGAAGCCUCCGGGACCAUCUGCUCCUCCAGAAGGCCUGCAACUGUUCUUUUCAUGUUUG